GGAAAGCGCCGUAGCUCAGUGGCAGAGCAUCUGCUUUGCAUGCAGAAGGUCCUGGGUUCAAUUCCUGGCAUUUCCA